GAUGAACGCUGGCGGCGUGCCUAAUACAUGCAAGUCGAGCGAAUGGAUUAAGAGCUUGCUCUUAUGAAGUUAGCGGCGGACGGGUGAGUAACACGUGGGUAACCUGCCCAUAAGACUGGGAUAACUCCGGGAAACCGGGGCUAAUACCGGAUAACAUUUUGAACCGCAUGGUUCGAAAUUGAAAGGCGGCUUCGGCUGUCACUUAUGGAUGGACCCGCGUCGCAUUAGCUAGUUGGGGAGGUAACGGCCCACCAAGGCAACGAUGCGUAGCCGACCUGGGAGGGUGAUCGGCCACACUGGGACUGAGACACGGCCCAGACUCCUACGGGAGGCAGCAGUAGGGAAUCUUCCGCAAUGGACGCAAGUCUGACGGAGCAACGCCGCGUGAGUGAAGAAGGGUUUCGGCUCGUAAAACUCUGUUGUUAAGGAAGAACGCCAGGUAGAGUAACUGCUACCUGUGUGACGGUACUUAACCAGAAAGCCACGGCUAACUACGUGCCAGCCGCCGCAGUAA
rnacentral:rRNA from 1 species